ensembl:rRNA 5S_rRNA 5S ribosomal RNA
GCUUACGGCCAUACCAGCCUGAAUGCGCCCGAUCUCGUCAGAUCUCAGAAGCUAAGCACGGGUCGGGCCUGGUUAGUACUUGGAUGGGAGACUGCCUUGGAAUACCCGAUGCUGUAAGCA